AAAAUUGUUACGGUGAAAAUUCUUAGUUCGAAGUUACCAAUCAAUCCAACCAUGCUUUACUUGGAGGAGCUGUUAGUCGUAGAACUUUUAAAAGUAUAACUUUUAUAAAAAAUUAUUUGAUGUUUGGUAACUAUAUUUUUAAAAUGCUGUAGCACGUUAACAUAUGUUUAAUAAAUAAAUUGAGAAAGUAUUUUUGUAUAACGAAAUUAUCAUAAAGAAUAUUGCAUAGUAUUAUAAAAGAAAGCAUAAUAAAAUAUAACAUAUAUUAAUACAUAAAUAUAUGAUAUAGUAUAAUAUUAUUAUAAUAUAAUAAUAUAAUAUAAUAACUUAAUAUAAUAUUAAAUUAUUUAAUAUAUUUUAUUAUCAAUAUUUUGGUGAAAAAAAUAACUUUUCGAUAAAAUUCAAAAUAUUUUUUUCGAAAAGCUCCAAAAUAAAACAUCUUCCAAAAAGCUGCUCUCAGCUUUUUUAGAAAACUAAAACAAUUUUUCAAAACUUUUACCAAACACUAUUUUUAUCUAAAAAUAUUUUUAAAAAAUUAAAAAAUAUUUUUUGGCUCUCUAAAUUUUUUCCCAAAUAGAGCAUUAAAUUACAGUGGACUACCUUCUUCAUCGGAAAAUCUGCAGUGCGUCUGCUCACGGGGAUGCAGGGAGGGGGGCCCCCCACGAAAAUGAACUUGAAAAUUACUGAGGGAGACGUCCACUCGCAGCUGGCAGGUACAUCACAUCUCAUCCUUUGACAUCUAAAUCUAAUCCAACCAAAGCGCUGAUAUACAUACAAGGCGGAACGCACCACAACCGCACCACGGAUACCCCUGGCUUUUGUGUACGCCGGACCAGGCUUUUCACGUGAUUUGACAAGCCUCCCAAAACACCAAGCUAGAACCCAAGAGCCUUGG
rnacentral:lncRNA from 1 species